rfam:Biomphalaria glabrata isolate BB02 unplaced genomic scaffold LGTN_random_Scaffold4295, whole genome shotgun sequence.
UGGCUUAGGAGUAAAGCACUUGGCUUCCGAACAGGUAGUCCCAGGUUCGAAUCCUGG